rnacentral:rRNA from 1 species
UACGUAGGGUGCCAGCGUUAAUCGGAAUUACUGGGCGUAAAGUGUGCGCAGGCGGCCGCGCAAGUCGAGUGUGAAAGCCCCGGGCUUAACUUGGGAAUUGCGCUCGAAACUACGUGGCUAGAGUGUGGCAGAGGGAGGUGGAAUUCCACGUGUAGCGGUGAAAUGCGUAGAGAUGUGGAGGAACACCGAUGGCGAAGGCAGCCUCCUGGGCCAACACUGACGCUCAUGCACGAAAGCGUGGGGAGCAAACAGG